GUCAGCCUCUGAGGCAAUAGUUGGUUCAGCUACUGGCCUUUUCUGUCCCAGUUUUGUCCAAAGGAAAUGACCAUCAACAGAAAGGGAGUGGAGAGGAGAGCAAGGAAAGCUGCAGCAGGACACAAUUCCGGAGCCUCCUGCCCACCUGAACGUGAACACUUUAACACAAACUCAGCCCACAUUUCCAGAAUAAGCAUUUCCAUUAGCAUCGCUGGAAAGUAGUUUGAGCUGUUCCAUUUUUAAAUAUAAAGGACAAAUGUGGGUGAGAAUCUAUAUAAUGCAAGGAGUGAAAGGAGGCCACACAUUUGUAAAGUCAUACACACACAAUCUCUUUCUCUCUCUCCAGUCUUCCAUGGGAUGACUGAAUGACUAUGACCUUGUCCCUGGUCCACAGUGGAUUCUCAACCUGGCCACCGUCAAUAACAACACAGGGCCUUUCUGCAACUCAGGUGGGAGGACAUGGCCUGCCCCCUGCCUCAUCAUCACUGACACUGUUGCCUAGGGGUUUGCCAGAUGCAAAACAUCAUUCGACACACUCUUGGGAGGGAUCCUUGGUGCUCCAGAAAUCCCUCCUGCUAGUGUUAAUUUGGGGCAUCAAGGAUUUCACCAGGAAACACUUAUGAAUGUCUGUAUUUUUCUUGCAUUUUUUUUUGUCUGAAAAUCUUAGGCUGUUGUUAUAGAAACACAUCAAGAUGACACUAAGGGGUUGUGCACUUGUGUUCUAGUCAUUCUGUCCACUCCCUGGGAUCUGCUGCCUGACCUCUGUUUUCCCAACUGAGUGUGGGGGCCUGAGACCGACUCUGCAGCUCUGCUCCCUAAGAACAGUGACUAUCACCCUCACUCUCUCUAUCGCUAAAGCCCCCAACUUUAAUAUUGCCCUUGAUCCCUCACUCCUUCAUUUCUCACCUUCAUUCCAUUAGUUUUUCUGCCAUGGAGCUACCUGCCUCUUCUCACCAAACAGCCACCACGGUCCAAGCGCUCAACCUCUCCUGGCUAGAUUACUCUAUUAGCCACCUCACUGAUCUCCCUGCCUCCAGCCUCCCCCUCUCAAGUUCAUACUUCACUUGGCCUCCCAGAUUGUUUUUUUCAAAGAUGUUGUUCUGCACAUGUAUCUCCCUUCCUUAAAAUCCUCCAGUGGUUACCCAUUCCUCUCAGCAGAAAGCAGAAACUCCUGACCAUUCUUUAGCUCUCCCUCUUAUCUACUCUCCUCUCCCUCUAUGCCCAGCUCUCACUCUUCAUUCCUUCCAAGUUUACCUUCUUACUCAUUCAGUGGAACUGAGCUCUGCAAAACUAGGAAAACCAAUUGAUAUUUAAACUCUGAGUUAUUUUAUGUAUGAGUCUUCCUUGGAAAGGCUAAGGAAAUAUGUAGCAUGGCGUAGUGGAAAGAGCACAGACCUGGGAGUCAGAGGACCUGGGUUCUGAUCCUAGCUCAACCAGUUGCUUGCUGCGUGACCUUGGGCAAGUCACAACUUCUGUGCCUCAGUUUCCUCACCUAUAAAAUGGGGAUUCAAUACCUCUUUGCCCCCCUAUAAGAUUCUGAUAUGUGGAACAGAGACUGUGUCUGACCUGAUUAACUUGUCUGUCUCUAACCCAGACCUUUGAAGAAUGUUUCAUACACAAGCACUUGACAAAUACAAUAAUAAUAACAAUAAUAACACCAAUGACUAAUCCACGUCACUUAGAGGGGAGAUAAUAUUUCAUCAUUGGAAAUGUCAUUUUCUCACAAAUACCAAUUCUGUGUGGGACUGCAGACAAGCACAGUUUUGAUAGUUUUGUGGACAUAAUUUGCACCAGCUAGUCCAUCUCCCUUCGGUUUAACAAGUAAUCCAGAAGUGAGUUGGUGCCAGGACCCAAAAAUCUUCUCUUGGACCACAGCUGCUUCACCAACGUCUCUAGCUCUUCCCCCUCCCCCUUCCUUUGCCUGUAACACCUGACUUGGUCUUCUUGUAAUUGCAAACAGAGAUAUGUGGCCAGAGUAUACAAGUCAUGCAGUGCACAACGGACCAGAAAUCUUUUACAGUGAUAACAUUAAAAUCUAAAAUGCCUAGUAGAAUCUGUUUUCAUUAUGCUCAUUUUCUUUGGAUGAAGGCCCCUUGGUGUGCUGUCUCCUCUCCUGACAUGCUAUGAGCGCUCAGCAUGCCUCUCUGAUGCUUCCAAUACUUGUUCAUUUUCUUGCAGUGACUUCUUCAAAGUCACCACUUGGAAGUCAAGUCACAGGUCACACUGGGUUAAAAUAGUUUAUGGCAUCCCAGGACUUGUGAAGGGAGGCCGGGGACCCAAGCUGAAGCCGGGGCUGAUGUCUGGCUUAGGGGUAGCCUUGCGUCUGUGGUGGAG
rnacentral:lncRNA from 1 species